GCUCGGUGCUUUUUUUAUCUUCUUUAUAAUGGCUUUCACAAUCUGUUUAACUCCUUGUUUAUUUUAUCAUGAUUAUAUUUAAAAACCAGAAAUACAGUAAGAUAUAGAACUUGAUCGAUAAUGUCGUCGGUAUCGUUUCUUUAAUGUUCUUCGAUCGAGGAAGAAUUUCAAAUAAAAUUGCAUAUACUAGAAAUUAAUUCGUUUUCUCUACUGCUUAUGAAUUUAAAUAAAUAGAGUAUAUAGGUAUAAACAGAGUUCUACCACAAUUCUUCAUUACAGUCUUUAAUUAUAGUACUUAAUUUCUGACGUAUUUAUUUAACAUCUUUAACAUCUAAAGUGUUUAUUUGCAAUACUACUUACUAGUGAUUUUAACUGAUUGCCUUUAUAUUGAUUUAUUUUUAUAUUAAUGGAGAGGACAAGUCUAAGUUUAGGAAAAACUUGUUUAGUUUAAAUAGGAUUUAGGGAAAAAGGAUGAAAUUAUAAAUAGACAAAGAUAAAAACGGGGGAAGUAAAAUCUGAAAGGAGACGGAAUCCAUUUGCAUUUGCGUGAAACUAUAGGACGUGUGCGUAUUUCUAAGUCUACGCGAAAGCAAAGAAGAAAUCUUUGAAAAUAGAAUAAAAGGAAAAGGACAUGAAAUUGGAUAGAGAAAGUUUGAGAACGAUUUUUUUUUUUUUUUUCUUUGGACUGGAUGCUAUUCGGAGUAAUUAGUUAGAGUUUGCCGCGGGUAGGGGGGGGGAUUUUUUUUAGUUUUAAUUUUUAUAGUUUCGAAGAAAUUUUGUCAAUUUUUCCGUUACUUUGUUCAUCCUACGCUAACUUCAAACUUUUCACUGCCUUGCCAUAUUCUUUUAAGCUUACGUGUUUCUACGUUUUCCUCUUUAUGAAAUGCGGGUACUCGUGUUUGCUCCCGGACUCCUGAUUCAGUAGAACGGAUCGCAUUCAUUAUGUUGUUAUUUAAACGUUCCACAGCUGUAUAAAUGUCGUUUGACAUUUAAGAGACAUUUGACAUUGAUAGGUUGAAGGCAAUUUAUAACUUUGUUGCGAACAAUUUGGUCGGUCUUCGAUAAUGGUCGAAUGAAUUGCUACAACAGAUGAGUGAUUUGAAAAGAGUUCGAGAGAAGAGCUGAUUUGGGUAUAUCUUCGUAUAUGUCCUUGAUUAUAAAAUAAUUUAAUAGAUCAGGCACUUUACUCGUAUCGGUUGGCCAAUAUGUUGGUUCGUUUGUGUUGAGAUAAUCCAGUUCGUUUGAUUUGACGCUUUUAAACAUAGUCUUACCACUUGUGAUGAUUCCGAUGUGUCCCAUUGGGUAGGCUUAGCAUUGAACUCCCCUCUCACGAUGAAUUUAUUAUCGAAGCUAACGAAGAAAUUAUCAGAAUCUUCUUUGGAGAUAGUAUACUUGGAUGGACGGUAGACUGCUGACACAGUAAUUGGGCUAUGCGAUCUUUCAUCGCCACGUUCGUUGGUUGAAGAUAGUUCGUUUUGUAUAAUGCGAUGGAAGUUUAUACUGAAUCACGGUGGAUUUUAUAAUAAUUGCAGUGCCAGCAUGAUCCCUGCUACUCGAAUGUUGUGUGUGACAUAUUUUAUACUCAUUUAUUUUUAAGUGUUUUUUUCUGGUAAUACGCGUUUCAGACAUCAGCAUUACCUUUAUUCCUUGAUUAUGUAAGAAGAAUUCCAGCUCGUUUUUAUACUCAACUGGACUGUUGCCGUUCCAAAGAGCUAUGCGUAAGAGUUCCAUUUUGGUACGUUGCUUCUUAACUUGUCUGCGACCGUUUUUAAUAGUGGCAACAAGAUGCUAAUUUCAUAUAGUUUAUCGCUUUUUGAGUUAUACGUGCUAUUUUGUAUAAUGCUAUCAUAUAGCUUUACUUUGUUUUAACGUUCCUGAGCAUAGAAGAUCGACGGAUUAGUUACUUUACAUUACGUGUUAGGAACUUUUACCGAUUUCGUGCACUGUGCUGUAGGAUGAGAGUUUGCACAUUCAACGAAGCGAUAAUUAUUUAUCUCUGGAGUACAAAUCCAUCGCAGUCAAUAUAAAGAUCGCACCGGUAGCUUCCAUCCUUUAACUUUCUUUAAACCAGACACCUACAUGUAUCAGUGUGCACCAGGAAUGACGACGUCAUAUUUCUUGAAAUAUCCAACGAAUUAUGUCAAACACAAAAUGCCAAUAGUUUUACCUCUCACUUAUGAAAGGAGGAUGCAGACACCACACAUUCCAGAUUUAUCUCUGUCUGGGAUAUAUAAUAAAUCCACUUGUAUUGCUUAUAAACGAUAGCUUAUUAUACGUGUUAAUGCUGCUAUAAACUGCUGCAAGGUAUUACUUGAAAAAUAAUCUAAAAGUAAAUUAAAAGUUGUGUAAAAUUAAAAGAAACGAGAUAUUUAGGUAAAUUAUUUGUAAUAUAACAAAAUUAUUGUUAUUUAGGAUGAAUAAUUUUGGAAAUUAUAAAAUUUGUAGUAUUUAGAAUACAUGUCUAUCUAGCUUAAUAUACCUACUAUAUAUAUUUAAAAUAUACGAACUUUAUUUCGUUUAAAUAUAUAUAUUUUUUACAUAUAUUCAGUUGCAUAACGUUAUUGGUUAAACGUUGUUUUCAAAUAUACUGUGGUCGUGAUUCUACUGCUUUAUAACAGAUUUCCUUGACGAUGAAAUUUCUUUUACUGUCGAUGGGAGUGUGUGUAACUUAACUUGACCAUGAACCAUUUCUUACGAGUAUUAUUAUUUAUUAAGUAUGCAUUUUUAAGGGCAGUUAGGUAAACCACGAGUGAAACGAUAGAAUGAAUUAGAAGAAACGUCAAAUACAUUUUUUUAGAAAAAUAAUUCUUUUGGCGAAAAAUAAAAUUACUUUUUUGAUGAGAUAUAGUAUUGUUAACAAAAAAGAGGGUAGAAUUUACCCAAUAUUUAAAGGAGAGUGGAAAAUAUUUUAGUUUUGAUAUAAAAUGAUUAUUUCUUGUAUGUAUGUAUAUUUGGAAGAAAUAUAUUUUUAUAUAUCGAGAAAAAUAUUUUUUUCUAAUAUCGAGCAACUUCGUUGGUUUCAUAUUUCUAGAAAAAUAACUUCUACAUGAUAUAAAACAGGUAUUCCUUGUACACUCGGAAAAUAUUUUUU